AGCAAGUGUUUCCAAUUGAAAUACAUUUGUUUUGACUGUAUGUUGUUGCAGAUGGAAAACAUCCAUUUUCUUUUUCUUUUUUUUUUUUGCAGUGGGAAUGGAUGACAAAUGUUGGCAAAACUUGGGUCAGAAAGAUUACCAGUGUAGACAUAGCUUCAGUAAGAGCUAUGAGUAAAUUGAUGAAAACAAGAUAAAGUAACUUGCCCAGGGUCACACACCUAAUAAGAGAUUGACUUUCUGAGGUGUUAGAAUGACAACUGAAGUUGGAUCCAGAAGAGCUUUGAUUUUAAUUCCUGGCUCAAGAUUUUCUCAGUUUUGUGACCCUGGAAAUGGAGACAGAAAUCUG
rnacentral:lncRNA from 1 species